rnacentral:tRNA from 1 species
GCCGGUGUGAUGGAAUGGUAGACGUGACGGACUCAAAAUCCGUUGGUGGCAACACCGUGUGGGUUCGAGUCCCACCACCGGCA